rnacentral:rRNA from 1 species
UACGUAGGGGGCGAGCGUUGUCCGGAUUUAUUGGGCGUAAAGAGCGUGUAGGCGGCCAGGUAGGUCUGCUGUGAAAACUCGAGGCUCAACCUCGAGACGUCGGCGGAAACCAUCUGGCUAGAGUCCGGAAGAGGAGAGUGGAAUUCCUGGUGUAGCGGUGAAAUGCGUAGAUAUCUGGAGGAACACCGGUGGCGAAGGCGGCAUCCUGGACCGACACUGACGCUGAGGAGCGAAAGCCAGGGGAGCAAACGGG